UUUUUUUUUUUUUUUGGCAAACCCACAGUAUGCAUAAGUUCCCUGGCCAGGGAUCAAACCUGCACCAUAGCAGUGACAACACUGGAUACUUAACUGCUAGGCCACCAGGAAACUCCCUAUUUUUGGGUGUUUAAGGAACUUCCAUACUGUUUUCCAUAGGAGCUGCACCAAUUUACAUUCUCACCAGUAGUGUAGGAGGAUUCCCUUUUCUCCACACCCUCUCUAGCAUUUACUAUUUGUAGACUUUUAAUGACGGCAAUUCUGACCAGUGUGAGGUGAUACCUCAUUGUAGUUUUGAUUUGCAUUUCCCUGAUAAUUAUCAAUGUUGAGAAUCUCUUCAUGAGCCUACUGAGCUAUUUGUCAUCUUCAGAAAUAUGUCUAUUUAGUCUUCUGCCCAUUUUUUUGUUUCUUGGUAUUGAGUUGUAUGAGAUGUUUGUAUAUUUUAGAAAUUAAGCCUUUGUCAGUCACAUCAUUUGCCAAUAUUUUUUCCCAGUCCAUAGGUUGUCUUUUCAUUUUGUUAAGAUUGUAAAUUUGAUUGUGCCCCAUUUUGUUUAUUUUUACUUUUAUUUCUAUUGCCUUGGGAGACUGACCUAAGAAACUCUGCUAUGAUUUUUGUCAGAGAAUGUUUUGCCUAGUUCACCUCUAGGAGUUUUAUGGUGUCAUGUCUUAUAUUUAAGUGUUUAAGCCAUUUUGAGUUUAUUUUUGUAUAUUGUAUGAGGGAGUGUUUUAAGUUCAUUUAUUUACAUGUGGCUGCUCAGCUUGUCCAAGACUACUUGCUAAAGAGACUGUCUUUACUUCAUUAUAUAGUCUUGUCUCCUUUUGUUGAAGAUUAAUUGACUAUGGGUGUGUGGGUUUAUUUCUGGACCCUCUAUUCCCUUCCAUUGAUCCCUAUGCCUGUCUUUGUGACAAUACUGUGCUGUUUUGAUUACUGCAGCUUUGUAGUAUUGUCUGAAGUCUGGGACAGUUAUGCCUCCAGCUUUUCUCAGGAUUGCUUUGGCACUUGUGGGUCUUUUAUGAUUCCAUGUAAAUUUUAUGAUAAUUUAUUCUAGUUUUGUGAACAAUGUCAUGGGUAAUUUGAUAGGGAUCCUAUUAAAUUAGUUGAUUGCUUUGGGUAGUAUGGCCAUUUUAACAAUGUUAAUUCUUCCAAUCCAAGAGCAUGGGGUAUCUUUCCAUUUCUUUGGAUCAUCUUAAAUUUACUUUAUCAACAUUUUAUAGUUCUCAACAUACCGGUCUUUCACCUCCUUAGUCAUGUUUAUUCUUAAGUUUUCUGUGUUUGGGCUGUGGGAUGGAAAUCCUGUAAAAUUGGAUUGUUAUGAUCAUUAUACAACUACAGAUGUGAUAAAUUCAUUUGAGUAAUAAAAAAAUACUAAAAAAAAUAAAAGCUAUUGUUUUUAUUUUUAAAACACAACCUGUAUUUUUUAGCAUUUCCCCAGUGGUGCCCUUGUACAACAAAGGUUGAGAACCAUUACAGUUAUCACUCAACAAAUAGUUAUAAAACUGUGCUCAUCCAUACUAGGAAAUAAAAAAGAUUUCUAGAUUAUCUAGAAUAGGUUUUUACAGGUCAUUCCUGCCUCUGAGAAAUCUAGACACAUGACUAUAUGGAGAGUAACUUAUUUUUUUAAGUUGCUUGGUUUUCCCCCAAAAAAUAAAGAAGAAAUCAAAAUGAGUACAAAUAGCAGAAGGUUGCUUAAACCUAAACAUCCAUUGUCAGAGGAUUGAUUAAAUAAUAAUGAUGUGCCUCAAAAUUGGAAUUCUAUAUAGCCACUGAUAGGGAAACUCUCUAGCUGCAGACAUACACCAAUACCCAAGACAGAGUAAAUGAAAAAACUAAGAUACAAAGCAAAAUUUGGUGGCUGUUUUGGGUCGUGUUCCUUAUCCCUGGUACCAUUGAAGGUGACUGUAUUUGCAGAAGAUGAGGCCAGACUAGAUUAGGGUGGGCUCAAGUCCAAUGACUGGUGUCCCUUUAAGAAGAGAUAAACUUGCAUACAGACCCAGAAGGUCACAUGAAGAUGGAAACAAAGAUUGGAGUGAUGGAGCCCCAGCAGCUAGGAUAGAGGAAGGGAACAGAUAGAUGUUCCCUCAGAACCUCCAGAAAAAGCAUAUCCUACCAACAACUGGAUUUUGGACCUCAAGCCUCCCUAUUGUGAGAAAGUAAGGUUCUAUUGUUUCAAGCCACCCAAUUUGUGGUGAUUUGUUAUGGCAGCCCUCGAAAACUAAUACAGUAGCUUAUCAUUUCUGGGAAUCUAUCUAUCUCUCUCUCUCUCUCUCUCUCUCUCUCUCUCUAUCAUCUAUCUAUCCAUCUAUCAAUACUAAAACUGUUUCCGAAAGGAUACCCAAGAAACUGAGGCCAAAAUGACUUCUGGGAAAGACAUGAGGAUGGCUGGGAGCAAGGGAAGAAAGAGAGAUUUACUUUUCAGUGCAUGCUCUUUUAUGUUUUUUGACUUUUGUACUAUAUUCAGAUGCUAUUUUAUUUCAUUUUCUUUUUUAGGGCUGCACCCAUGGCAUAAGUAAGUUCCCAGGCUAAGGGUAAAAUAGGACCUAUGCUAUAGCCACAGCAACGCAGGAUCUGAGCUGUGUCUGAGACCUAUACCACAGCUCAUAGCAAUGCUGGAUCCUUAACCCACUGAGUGAGGCCAGGGAUCAAAUCCAUGUCUUCAUGGAUACUAGUCAGGUUUGGUUACUACUGCACUGCCAUGGGAACUCCAAAUACUAUUUAUUUUUAAAAAAUCAAUGAUUUUACAAUAAUUGUGAUUUUUUUUCCCCCAGCUUGGGUCAGCUGCAGAAAUAACCCAAGAAAGCUGCUUUAACCUCUCAGGGCCUCAGACUUCACAACCAGAAAAUGGGGAUAAUAAUACCAAUUAUAGCCAACCCUUAAAAAAAUGCACCAACCCCUCACACAGUUGAAAAUCCACAUAUAACUUUACAGUUGGCCCUUUGUAUCUGUGGUUCUGCCUCUGGGGAUUCAACCAGUGUUGGAUGGUGUAGCACUGUGGUACAUCUUUAUUAAAAAAAAAUCUACACAUAAUUGGAUGCACACAGAUCCAACCUCUGUUAUUCAAGGGUCAACUGUACCUUACACACAGUGCAUGAUGUGCCUGGAAGGGUGCCUGGCAGAGAAAAGGGCUCAAGGAGGGAUCAUAUUGGCUAUGGUUUUUUUUUUUUUUUUUUUUUUUUUUUGGUCUUUUCUAGGGCUGCACACAAGGUAUAUGGAGGUUUCCAGGUUAGGGGUCUAAUCGGAGCUGUAGCUGCUGGCCUAAGCCACAGCCACAGCAAUGUGGGAACCAAAACGCGUCUGUAACCUGUACCACAGCUCAUGGCAAAGCCGGAUCCUUAACCCACUGAGCGAGGCCAGGGAUCAAACCUGCAACCUCAUGGUUCCUAGUUGGAUUCGUUAACCACUGAGCCACUACAAGAACUCCUGGCUAUGGUUUUUAUGGCUAUUAUGUGAUUAAGGUGCCUGAAUAAUAGUUAAAAUCCAAACAAGGGAUCAUGGGUGGAACACUGGAAGAGCCACACUAAACUGUGGUGGCAACUAAUAAAGCUGGCACAUAAUCAAGGAUAGCAUCUGCUCCAUGAAGGAGAUCUUCCUCAGCAGCCUUCCUCAACAGCAGCAGUGCCACCUUCAUAGCUGGAUAAUUCUAGGUUGUGGGUCUGUGCUGCACACAGUAGGUUUUAGCAUUGCUUGUCUUUGCCCACAAGGUGCCAGGAGUAUGUCUCCCUCAGUUGGGUUCAUCAAAGAAGACUCCUGACAAUGGCUCCCAUCCUCUGGUGAACAAAACUGGCUUAGCUGAGAACCACUAGUCCACAGAUUGGCAGUUCCCAACAUGUGCCACCCAGACCAGCAAUAAAUAUUACUGGGAACUUCUCAGAAAUGCAGAAUCUGGGCCCCAUCUCAGACCCACCGCAGCUGAACCUGCAUUUUAACAAGAUCUCCCUGUCACAUUAAAAUGUGAUCAGCAUUCAUCAACACCAGUGGCUCUCCCCUUCUCUUAUAAACAUAGGAAACCUUGCCCCUUUGAGUAAAAACACAUAUUACUGGCUCCUACCCAACCUGAGAAAGGGCUGGGAGUAGAUAUUUUAAAGCGAAUCUUAGGAUCAAGAAGUUUGGGGAAACUCUACCGUAUUUAUAUAGAGAAACAAAAUUUAGCAAUUCCUUUCUAGAAUUGCAUGGGCAGAGAGUGUCUUGGAUCCCAAACUUGUUCUCUGGAUAUUUAUCAAGUCCUCACUGAGCACUGGCCCAGGGACAAGUGGCUAAAAGAGACCCAUCUCCUGAGUGGCACCGAGCUGACAGCCCAAAGUGCACUGGAUGGCGCAGAAGUAGAGUCCAGCUGACAUUGUUAGAGAACUUCCACAUCUAACUGUGUUGGAAUCCUUUGACUUCCUGGUCCCAUAAGCAAAUAAAGUUUGGUUUUGGAAUUCCUGUUGUGGUUCAACGGUGAUGAACCUGACUAGUAUCCACAUGGAAGAGGGUUUGAUCCCUGGCCUCACUCCGUGGGUUAAGAAUCCAGCAUUGCUGUGACCUGUGGUGCAGGUCACAGACACAGCUCAAAUGCUGGGCUGCUCUAACUGUGGUAUAGCCUGGCAGCAGCAGCUCCGAUUCGACCCCUAGCCUGAGAACCUCCAUAUGCUGCAAAUGCAGCCCUAAAAAGCAAAAAAAAAAAAAAAAAUUUGAUUUUGCUUGAGGCAAUUUAAGUUUUAUUUCUAAUCACUUGUCUCUGAGAUAGUCUCAAUGAACACACUAUCCUCUAAGGUCACAGGACUGAUUUUCCUGCCCAUGACCAUAUGUGAUGGAAUAACUUUCUAAGUCUAAUAUGGAUUCCCACAAAGUUCUGUCUAUAGGGAGAUAAUACAGAGCUCAGAAGCCAUAAGAAUGUGAACAUUUUUGUUGCUAUAAGAGCAUUAUAAAUCAAUUGUAUUCUGGCUUUAUACAUCCAUCUCUUGUGAGUUUGGUUCCUGUAAGUCAGUGUCCAGGUUUUAACACAUCCAAGUAUAAGUAGAGCAAAAGGAAUGUUCCAACCAGCCCCUGGAAUGAAAUGAUGUCAUACUCCCCACCCCACUGUUUUCAUGUAGGACUUCUUUUGUUUGUUUGUUUGUUUAGGGCUGCACUUGCAGCAUAUGGAAGUUCCCAGGCUAGGGGUCAAAUCAGAACUACAGCUACCACCUAUACCACACCCACAGCAACAUGGGAUGUGGACUGUGUCUGCGACCUACACCAUAGCUCACAGCAACGCUGGAUCCUUAACACACUGAGUGAGGAAUAUAGCAUAUCUCACUUUUUUUAUAUUGAUUGCACACUGAAAUAAUAAUAUGCUGAGCAUACUGGGUUAAAUAAAGUGUCUUAUUAAAAUUAAUUUCACCCAUUACUUUUUACGUCUUAAAUGGGGCUAUUAGGAAAAUUUAAGUUACAUAUAUGGCUAUUUGUGGCUCCUAUUAUAUAGUCAGUUCUAGCUAUAUUGUUAUAUAUAGUAUAUAUAUAUGCACACAAUAUAUAGUAUAUAUUAUCUAUAUAUAAUUGUUAUUUUGUAUAUGGAUUAUACAAAAUAAGUUAUACUUAUUUUGAAAAUGUGAAUUUGCUCCCAUGAAGCAGAUACAUUGAGAGGUAAUUAAACAUAACACUAAUAACAUGUCUACUCGUGUCUGUAAGAAACACUAGGUGAAUCCUGAAAACGGCACCCAGCUGAACUGAGUUGUGCGGAAAACACACAAAAUGCUCACACAUGCACAGACCUCAAACAUCCACCAGAUACUUCAGUUCACCACACGGAUUAUGCGCCACGUGAACCCACAUCUGGUGCUACAACUUUCCGUCCAAUUUUAAAUAACCCUCCUUUCACCACUUUCCAUAACUCACAUGCAGCCACCAUGGCUCGUGGAUGCCACUUCCUCAAGCAAAUGCCAGGUCUUUUCCAAGCUAAAAUGCAAUAUACAGUAUAGUAUUUACACAUAUACUUGCAGUUAACAUAUGCAAAAGUGGGCUGUUUUUACUAGGCUCCUUUUUUUUUUUUUUUAAUGUUUCUCUGACAAAGUUUUUAGUGUUAUGUCCCUCACCCCACUUACUCCAUAGGUCCUACAGUUUUUAUUGCGAGAUUUUGCAUCUCACUGUAUUUUUCAGUAAUGCCUACGGCUGUGUUUCUAUUGGACGGUGCUGUGCUACAGAGCCUUGGUUCCCAAAGCA
rnacentral:lncRNA from 1 species